GGUUAAGCGACUAAGCGUACACGGUGGAUGCCCUGGCAGUCAGAGGCGAUGAAGGACGUGCUAAUCUGCGAAAAGCGUCGGUAAGGUGAUAUGAACCGUUAUAGCCGGCGAUGUCCGAAUGGGGAAACCCAGUGCAAUUCGUUGCACUAUCGUUAACUGAAUACAUAGGUUAACGAGGCGAACCGGGGGAACUGAAACAUCUAAGUACCCCGAGGAAAAGAAAUCAACCGAGAUUCCCCCAGUAGCGGCGAGCGAACGGGGAGCAGCCCAGAGUCUGAAUCAGCUUGUGUGUUAGUGGAACGGUCUGGAAAGUCCGACGGUACAGGGUGAUAGUCCCGUACACCAAAAUGCACAGGCUGUGAACUCGAAGAGUAGGGCGGGACACGUGGUAUCCUGUCUGAAUAUGGGGGGACCAUCCUCCAAGGCUAAAUACUCCUGACUGACCGAUAGUGAACCAGUACCGUGAGGGAAAGGCGAAAAGAACCCCGGCGAGGGGAGUGAAAAAGAACCUGAAACCGUGUACGUACAAGCAGUGGGAGCACCUUCGGGUGUGACUGCGUACCUUUUGUAUAAUGGGUCAGCGACUUAUAUUCUGUAGCAAGGUUAACCGUAUAGGGGAGCCGAAGGGAAACCGAGUCUUAACUGGGCGUUAAGUUGCAGGGUAUAGACCCGAAACCCGGUGAUCUAGCCAUGGGCAGGUUGAAGGUUGGGUAACACUAACUGGAGGACCGAACCGACUAAUGUUGAAAAAUUAGCGGAUGACUUGUGGCUGGGGGUGAAAGGCCAAUCAAACCGGGAGAUAGCUGGUUCUCCCCGAAAGCUAUUUAGGUAGCGCCUCGUGAACUCAUCUUCGGGGGUAGAGCACUGUUUCGGCUAGGGGGUCAUCCCGACUUACCAACCCGAUGCAAACUACGAAUACCGAAGAAUGUUAUCACGGGAGACACACGGCGGGUGCUAACGUCCGUCG
rnacentral:rRNA from 1 species